CUCCUCCCAGCUCGGUGAAGCUCCCCAUGUGAUCCGUUCUUCCCCCUAAAUAAAGUUGACAAAUCUGGCUGUGCUCAGAGUGCUGCCGAGGGGGUGCGGAGCGAUUCCCCCCCCGCAGCUGCGGCAGCGCCAGCGGGGCCGGGCCGGGCUCGGGGCUCCAGCACGGCGGGGCUCGGGGCUCCAGCAGCGCUGUCCCCUCCGGAGGAGCCCGGCGGGCCGAGCAGGAUGCGGCCGGAGCGGAACACAAAGAAUCCCAGACUGGCACUGGGCGACCCUUGGUGAAGGAGACAACACAUUCCUGACCUCCUGACUUGGGAUACAGAGGAGCUGUGCUGUAAACUCUGUGCCACAGGCUGUUCUUCCUGCAACCCCUGCCUUCCAAAAGAAAGAACACUUUUGAUCUCAUCCAUGCCUGGAGAACCUGAGGAGGAAACCAUCUCCUGGAUGACAAAGGUGCCAAGGGAAUCGUAGUCCUUGCUUCUCUGGGAAUUCCCAGAACAGCUCCUGAAUCCCAAUGAGGCCCAGGUUCAAAGAGGUCCCUGGACCUGCACUUUUGGCUUCACCAGACUAUGAGAACUUUGCUAAGUUAAAUACAACAAGGGACACUGAGAGUGAGCAGCUGGAGGGGUCCCUGUCGUCCACCAUCGCGCUGAUCGUCGUGCUGACCAUCAUCUUCUCACUGCUGAUGACAUCCCUAAUAACCUACUGCUUCCACAAGUGGAAACUCAGAGGGAGAAGACUGCAGAAGGCACAAGAGGAGUAUCAGAAAGACCACGAAAAGAGCAUUUGCCAAAGCACACCUGGACUUGUUUCAUAAAAAAAAAAAAAUGAAAGAAAAGGAUCCACCACAAAGAACUCUUGAAUUACCUGGAAAUGAAAAUAACGAAAGAACUGCAACUAUGAGAUUUCCAAACAAAUACAUCCUUGUUUUAUCUCAUUUCUAAGAGUUGUUAGCAGUUUGGAGAUUUCCUAUAGCUUUAUUAUACAUAUAUAUAUAUAUAUUUAUAUAUUUAGUCUCAUUUGUGCAAAGUAAAACCAACACAAUUGCUUAUCUCUAAUCUCCUUUGUCAUUUUAAUCUCUCCACAACCUCUUUGGGCAACCUGUGGCAGUGAUUCCUGGCUGGAGGAUGGGGAGACCCUGGCACAGGUUGCCCAGAGCAGCUGUGGCUGCUCCUGGAUCCCUGGAAGUGUCCAAGGCCAGGCUGGAGCACCCUGGGCCAGUGGAAGGUGUCCCUGCCCAUGGCAGGGGUGGCACUGGAUGGGCUUUUAGGUCCUGCCCAGCUCUAACCAUCAUUCUGUGUAUUUACUAAACCAGUAAAUUCAAAUCUGCUGCUCAGACUCUUUCAAAAAUCCACUAAAUAAAGGUCAGAUUUCGGGCCAUGCAAACCAACUGAUCCAACCCAGUGCAGUUGUGUUGUCCUGCACUGACACAACCAUGGGCUGAAGGAGCUGAAAUCCCCCUGGAGUCUGGAGCAAAUCCCAUUCCCAGCUGCUCAGAACAGCACCUGGUCCUGGAGAACAGCUCCUGUCUUCAGUGACAAUCCAAGCAGGACCAAACCCCAAAUUUAAGUCAGGAUUUCCUGAGAGGUGCUCGUGGCAUUCCAGCCACAAGUGGAUCAAGGACACCCAGCCCAGCUUCCCAAGGGCAGAGCAGGACCACCACCCUUUUUUAACCAGGCUUCCAAUUCUUUUUAAACCAACCAUUCCCCAGUGUGUUUCUAUUUGCAGAGCCUGUAAUGUCAUGUCACAGAGACACGGCAGAUUUAUCUGUGAGUAGCAUCUCUAAGUCAUAUUUUCUAACAAAGUGAUGGGUGUAAUAUUAAUAGAUGUAACUGUUUUAAAGUAGAAACAAUGUAAAGUUACCCCCAAGCCCCCUGCUCAAGGAUAUAACCUGCUUGCAAUUACCAGUAACGCUGUGUGUAUUUUUAAACAAGCUAUAAUACUGUGAUGAUGCUGUAAAUUUACUUCUGUAGGCAAAAAAAAAAAAAAAAAAGUUCUAUUUAAAAAUGUCAAGAUGAAAGAUGUAAAUGUUCUGAAAGUGCUACCAACUAAAAAUAUGAAUUUUCACAGAAUAUUCUAAAGGUUCUGUUCCAUGCUACAGAUAUAUUUUACAAAGGUAUUUAUGGGUCAAACACACCAGUCUGUGAGAACAGUACUAUUUUAUUACAAAAUAAAUACAUGAAUAAACAAGCAGUGAAUAUCCAUGCCCAGAAGCUGGAAAAUGUUUGGGUUUUUUUGUUUUUAAAUCCCAUGAUCAGUUCUACAGGUCAUUUAAAAGAUGGAGGACCUUGUGCCUUAUUGACAUAAGGGAUCCACCCCAACACAUGUCCCAGCCUCCCCCCUCCAGAUCCUGUCAGCACAGCCAGAAAUCUGCAGAGUCAGUCAUGGAGGGAAAAGGGACAUGAAAACAAUGCAAAUGCAGUAUUUCUAAGAUUAAUCUCUGUUUUGCCCAGAUUCCAGCCCGUUUUUUUAAAGCCAGUGGCAUUCAGAGCACCAGCCCUGGGGCAGGGGGUGAUCUGCACAUACACAGUGUCUCCCUGAGUGGAGACAAUAAAAACUCCUUCUCUGAAAAUCAAACUGAGUGGUAAUAAAAUUACACUUUGAAGAAUGCAAA